UCACUUUCGUUAUCGCUUUCACACAUCAUCAUACUUCACUAAAACAACUAAAACUGAAAACGCACGUGUUUGUUAGACUUCAAGCUACAAACUGGUACUAAAAUCAGCUGAUAAUAUCACAUUGCAAGACAGCUAGAGCGCACUGUGCAUUACUUUUGGGACAACCCUCGUAUGUAUACACGUAGUAAUAUUUCACACGCGAAACGCAGAGUAAUACGAGUAUAUCGCGUUUAAUUAUCGAAACAA